rnacentral:rRNA from 1 species
UGGUGGAGUGAUUUGUCUGGUUAAUUCCGAUAACGAACGAGAUCGCAUCCUACUAAAUAGUGGCGUUAAUCAUCUACCGGGUGAAGGCUGCUUGCUUUGAGCUUCUGGGAGACUGGAGGCUUGGACGGGUGGUUGGAUCCUUGAUGAAUUGGCGUCAAUAAAUACUUCUUAGAGGGACUGUCGGUGAUUAACCGAAGGAAGUGCGGCAAUAACA